rnacentral:rRNA from 1 species
AUUGAACGCUGGCGGCAUGCCUUACACAUGCAAGUCGAACGGCAGCACGGGUGCUUGCACCUGGUGGCGAGUGGCGAACGGGUGAGUAAUAUGUCUGAACGUACCUUAUUGUGGGGGAUAACGCAGCGAAAGCUGUGCUAAUACCGCAUAAUCCCUAAGGGGGAAAGCGGGGGGCCGUAAGGGCUCGCGAAAUGAGAGGGGCCGGUACCGGAAUAGCUAGGUGGUGAGGUAAAGGCUCACCAAGGCAACCAUCAGUAGCUGGUCUGAGAGGACGAUCAGCCACACUGGGACUGAGACACGGCCCAGACUCCUACGGGAGGCAGCAGUGGGGAAUUUUGGACAAUGGGGGCAACCCUGAUCCAGCAAUGCCGCGUGAGUGAAGAAGGCCUUCGGGUUGUAAAGCUCUUUUGUCAGGGAAGAAACAGCAGCUCUAACACAGUUUGCGAAUGACGGUACCUGAAGAAUAAGCACCGGCUAACUACGUGCCAGCAGCCGCGGUAA